GCUCGAGUGGUCUAGUGGUAUGAUUCUCGCUUAGGGAUUACUCUGAGUUCAAAAUUGCGAGAGGCCCCGCGUUCGAAUCGCGGCCCGAGCC
rnacentral:tRNA from 1 species